rnacentral:misc_RNA from 2 species
AGCAGCCGCGGUAAUUCCAGCUCCAAUAGCGUAUAUUAAAGUUGUUGCAGUUAAAAAGCUCGUAGUUGAAUUUCGGGAUUGACACAUCGGUCGUGCCUUAAGGGGUAUGAACUGGUGUAGUCAAUUUCUCACCUUCUGGAGAACCGCGAUGCCCUUAAUUGGGUGCCGCGGGGAACCAGGACCUUUACUUUGAAAAAAUUAGAGUGUUUAAAGCAGGCAUUUUGCUUGAAUACAUUAGCAUGGAAUAAUAAAAUAGGACGGCAUGAUUCUAUUUUGUUGGUUUCUAGGAUCACCGUAAUGAUUAAUAGGGAUAGUUGGGGGCAUUAGUAUUCAAUUGUCAGAGGUGAAAUUCUUGGAUUUAUUGAAGACUAACUACUGCGAAAGCAUUUGCCAAGGAUGUUUUCAUUAAUCAAGAACGAAAGUUAGGGGAUCGAAGACGAUCAGAUACCGUCGUAGUCUUAACCAUAAACUAUGCCGACUAGGAAUCAGACGAUGUUAAUUUUUUAAUGACUCG